UAAACCAAGAUCUUUUUAGCACAAGCUAUGAGAUGCUCUCUCAGCUGCUCAGAGCAUCCAUAUGGCUUUCCAAGCCUUGGGGACCUAAGGUAGUGUUAAAGGUGUUGGUAGCAGUUUGGGGACCAGACAGGAGUCUAGAAUUAGGUGAGGGUGGAGCUGAGUGAGUUAAGUGUAUGAGCUAUUGGCUACUAGCGUUUUAAUUACCUUCUCUUUGAGAUAAAUCUCAGUUACUUAGACUAGUUUUCACACUGCUGUUGUAGGAGACUGUAGGUUUAAAAUGGGUAAGCAACUAUUUUUUUUUCUAAACUGGAUUUCUUGAAGGAAGAAAGAAAAAAAAAAAAGCUAAUAAAAAUACUUCACUGAAAAACAAGCUCAGUGACAAGCUACUUAAAAACAAGGGCACAUUUUUCCAAAUAUUUGAAAUGCAGUAUCUUUUUUAUUUUCAUUUUCAAAGCUUGGAAAUGCAGAAGAUAAAGAGAGGGAGAAACAGUCCUGAGUUGUAAGAUUUGAGUAUGUUUUUAAAUUGCAUAUUUACCCCACGUAGCUAUCUGGUCUCUGGGGUGUGUGUGACCGCCUGGUGUAUGUGAUCACCCCUGGUGAUGCUCUUGGCACGACUAAUGCCAUUUUAUAAGGGAACCAGCCCUUCUCUGAGACCAAGCAGCUCAUAGAUCUGUUCCUGUGUUUGUUCCCUUUCCCUCAUUAUCAGGCCCUGAAGGUCCUGUGAACCAAGCAGACGAACCAAACAGAUUUCUUCCUCCCCUCCAUGCUGGCCUCAAGAUUCCUGGGUGCCAGGCCGGUUACUCCAUUCCUGGCUGGCCUUGAAGGUCCCAGGCACCCACCAGCCAGGUGGCAGUGAUGUCCCCAGCGCAGAAUGAGGAGCGUAACAGCACCCAGAGCACUGGCUAUAAAAUCAGUAACAAGCCCUAAGUGGGGAGCUUGGACCCGAACUGCUGCUGGACAGUGAGCCCCAUGGCCAGGGAUGCCACCUUAUCUGCUUCCUCCGAGGACUGAGUAAGCUUAGGUUUAUAUCCCGGCAGUACAGGGGCCAUCCUGCUGCUCUCAGCCAUUGGAAGAGUGGAAACCUCUCCUGUUCCUCCCUCGCCAGGUCGGGAUAAAUGGCACAUCAUCAGCUGCCUGUGAGGGUUGCUUGUGGCAUGCUGUCUGCCAUGCUCCUGCUGUAACACCGAGUGGGAUUUAUAUGGAUUCAAAAGGACAGAUAUCACUUACUGACAGAUUUGGGGAUACCUGAGCCUGUUCCUGAAAAGAGUCUUCCUCCAUGGCAUCACCAAAGCAAGGGACCAUUUCUCCGUGGUUCUGUAUCUGGCUGGUCUUGCAGUGCUGCCUUCUCCGAGACUUCCAGUGGAAUCCAGGAUGCUUGGUUUGAUGAUCUGCAAGCUGCUCCAUUUCACAUCUUGGGAAAGAAGAGGACCUGGGAUUCCUCCUGUCAGAGAUGUGGGGCUUGUGUUCGCAGAGGAAAAAGGUAUGUGAUGAUUUUCUCCCCCUGACCAGCGUAAGCAUGGAGAACUGGGAUACUUCUGGUCACUUUUGAGAACCCUGAGCCUCGCCUUCCAUGCAGAGGAGCCGGAGUCUGUUUGGAUGGUUUGAAUCUUUGCCAUCGUUCGGAGCAGAAUGAAGCUCUGUGAAGGGAGGGUGACUGAAUGCCAACUGGGAUGUCAUUAGCUCGGGCGGCCCGGGCAGCAGCUGAUGGGCAGUUUGCGGUGGAAGUCGUGCAGACAGAAGGGGCAUGACUCAGUGGUGGAGAGGCCCCGGCCUCUGGCUCUGUUCCCACCCCAAAGGUGUAUUCUGGGCUGGGGCAGGGACAGCUCGUGGCUGCACAAACACACAUCACUGGGUAAGAACACACAGGCUCCCCACGUGACCGGCCCUUUUCCAGGAGGCCGGUGGUGUUGCUGUGAUGUUGGGUGCUGCUGGCCCAGCUCCAUCUUUCUUCCACAGCAAUCAGUGGAAUCAUGUCCUAGUCUUGAAGUCUGGUGCUUUAGGAAUGAAAAGCUUAAUGGCUUUCCUUGGUAUAUAUAUUUUUUUUUUCCUUCUUUCUUUUAUGAAGCAUAGGGUGUUUAGAGCUAUGGAAGCAGUGCAAGAAAAAUAUUAAUGAAUAACUACGGAGUGCAGACAUUAACGCAUUCCUUUCUCUUGAAAUAACUGGCUUUUCUCUGUGGGCUCUGUAAAAGAAAAAUGUCUGAACCUCCUGUAUAGAAGCCAA